UUGCAAUUGUUGGUCUUCAANNAGGAAUUCCUAGUAAGCGUGAGUCAUCAGCUGCNGUUGACUASGUCCCUGCCCUUUGUACACACCGGCNGUCGCUCCUACCGAUUGAAUGGUCCGGUGAAGUGUUCGGA
rnacentral:rRNA from 1 species